GAUGAACGCUGGCGGCGUGCUUAACACAUGCAAGUCGAACGAUGAAGCCCAGCUUGCUGGGUGGAUUAGUGGCGAACGGGUGAGUAACACGUGAGUAACCUGCCCUUAACUCUGGGAUAAGCCUGGGAAACUGGGUCUAAUACCGGAUAGGAGCGCCUACCGCAUGGUGGGUGUUGGAAAGAUUUAGCGGUUUUGGAUGGACUCGCGGCCUAUCAGCUUGUUGGUGGGGGAGUGGCUCACCAAGGGAAAGACGGAUAGCCGGCCUGAGAGGGUGACCAGCCACCCUGGGACUGAGAGACGGCGCAGAGUCCAACGGGAGGCAGCAGUGGGGAAUAUUGCACAAUGGGCGAAAGCCUGAUGCAGCGACGCCGCGUGAGGGAUGACGGCCUUCGGGUUGUAAACCUCUUUCAGUAGGGAAGAAGCGAAAGUGACGGUACCUGCAGAAGAAGCACCGGCUAACUACGUG
rnacentral:rRNA from 1 species